rnacentral:rRNA from 1 species
GAUGAACGCUAGCUACAGGCUUAACACAUGCAAGUCGAGGGGAAACGAUGAGAGAGCUUGCUCUCUUAGGCGUUGACCGGCGCACGGGUGAGUAACGCGUAUCCAACCUACCCAUUACAGGGGGAUAACCUUGCGAAAGUAAGACUAAUACCCCAUGGCAUUUUAUGGUGGCAUCAUUAUAGGAUUAAAGAUUUAUUGGUAAUGGAUGGGGAUGCGUCUGAUUAGCUUGUUGGCGGGGUAACGGCCCACCAAGGCAACGAUCAGUAGGGGUUCUGAGAGGAAGGUCCCCCACAUUGGAACUGAGACACGGUCCAAACUCCUACGGGAGGCAGCAGUGAGGAAUAUUGGUCAAUGGGCGAGAGCUUGAACCAGCCAAGUAGCGUGCAGGAUGACGGCCCUAUGGGUUGUAAACUGCUUUUAUAGGGGAAUAAAGUGAGCUACGUGUAGUUUAUUGCAUGUACCCUAUGAAUAAGGACCGGCUAAUUCCGUG